rnacentral:rRNA from 1 species
GACAGCCAGGAUGUUGGCUUAGAAGCAGCCAUCAUUUAAAGAAAGCGUAAUAGCUCACUGGUCGAGUCGGCCUGCGCGGAAGAUGUAACGGGGCUAAACCAUGCACCGAAGCUGCGGCAGCGACGCUUAUGCGUUGUUGGGUAGGGGAGCGUUCUGUAAGCCUGUGAAGGUGUGCUGUGAGGCAUGCUGGAGGUAUCAGAAGUGCGAAUGCUGACAUAAGUAACGAUAAAGCGGGUGAAAAGCCCGCUCGCCGGAAGACCAAGGGUUCCUGUCCAACGUUAAUCGGGGCAGGGUGAGUCGACCCCUAAGGCGAGGCCGAAAGGCGUAGUCGAUGGGAAACAGGUUAAUAUUCCUGUACUUGGUGUUACUGCGAAGGGGGGACGGAGAAGGCUAUGUUGGCCGGGCGACGGUUGUCCCGGUUUAAGCGUGUAGGCUGGUUUUCCAGGCAAAUCCGGAAAAUCAAGGCUGAGGCGUGAUGACGAGGCACUACGGUGCUGAAGCAACAAAUGCCCUGCUUCCAGGAAAAGCCUCUAAGCAUCAGGUAACAUCAAAUCGUACCCCAAACCGACACAGGUGGUCAGGUAGAGAAUACCAAGGCGCUUGAGAGAACUCGGGUGAAGGAACUAGGCAAAAUGGUGCCGUAACUUCGGGAGAAGGCACGCUGAUAUGUAGGUGAAGUCCCUUGCGGAUGGAGCUGAAAUCAGUCGAAGAUACCAGCUGGCUGCAACUGUUUAUUAAAAACACAGCACUGUGCAAACACGAAAGUGGACGUAUACGGUGUGACGCCUGCCCGGUGCCGGAAGGUUAAUUGAUGGGGUCAGCGCAAGCGAAGCUCUUGAUCGAAGCCCCGGUAAACGGCGGCCGUAACUAUAACGGUCCUAAGGUAGCGAAAUUCCUUGUCGGGUAAGUUCCGACCUGCACGAAUGGCGUAAUGAUGGCCAGGCUGUCUCCACCCGAGACUCAGUGAAAUUGAACUCGCUGUGAAGAUGCAGUGUACCCGCGGCAAGACGGAAAGACCCCGUGAACCUUUACUAUAGCUUGACACUGAACAUUGAGCCUUGAUGUGUAGGAUAGGUGGGAGGCUUUGAAGUGUGGACGCCAGUCUGCAUGGAGCCGACCUUGAAAUACCACCCUUUAAUGUUUGAUGUUCUAACGUGGACCCGUGAUCCGGGUUGCGGACAGUGUCUGGUGGGUAGUUUGACUGGGGCGGUCUCCUCCUAAAGAGUAACGGAGGAGCACGAAGGUUGGCUAAUCCUGGUCGGACAUCAGGAGGUUAGUGCAAUGGCAUAAGCCAGCUUGACUGCGAGCGUGACGGCGCGAGCAGGUGCGAAAGCAGGUCAUAGUGAUCCGGUGGUUCUGAAUGGAAGGGCCAUCGCUCAACGGAUAAAAGGUACUCCGGGGAUAACAGGCUGAUACCGCCCAAGAGUUCAUAUCGACGGCGGUGUUUGGCACCUCGAUGUCGGCUCAUCACAUCCUGGGGCUGAAGUAGGUCCCAAGGGUAUGGCUGUUCGCCAUUUAAAGUGGUACGCGAGCUGGGUUUAGAACGUCGUGAGACAGUUCGGUCCCUAUCUGCCGUGGGCGCUGGAGAACUGAGGGGGGCUGCUCCUAGUACGAGAGGACCGGAGUGGACGCAUCACUGGUGUUCGGGUUGUCAUGCCAAUGGCACUGCCCGGUAGCUAAAUGCGGAAGAGAUAAGUGCUGAAAGCAUCUAAGCACGAAACUUGCC